rnacentral:rRNA from 1 species
AUUGAACGCUGGCGGCAGGCUUAACACAUGCAAGUCGAUCGGGGUGAUGGUGCUUGCACUAUCACUUAGCGGCGGACGGGUGAGUAAUGCUUAGGAAUCUGCCUAUUAGUGGGGGACAACAUCUCGAAAGGGAUGCUAAUACCUCAUACGUCCUACGGGAGAAAGCAGGGGAGCACUUGUGACCUUGCGCUAGUAGAUGAGCCUAAGUCGGAUUAGCUAGUUGGUGGGGUAAAGGCCUACCAAGGCGACGAUCUGUAGAGGGUCUGAGAGGAUGAUCCGCCACACUGGGACUGAGACACGGCCCAGACUCCUACGGGAGGCAGCAGUGGGGAAUAUUGGACAAUGGGGGGGACCCUGAUCCAGCCAUGCCGCGUGUGUGAAGAAGGCCUUAUGGUUGUAAAGCACUUUAAGCGAGGAGGAGGCUCUUUUGGUUAAUACCCAAGAUGAGUGGACGUUACUCGCAGAAUAAGCACCGGCUAACUCUGUGCCAGCCGCCGCAGUAA